CAGAUACAGUGAUGAUGGCAUAGUUCAGCAGAAUCCCCUGUGAUGAACACUUUGUCUUUCGCUCCUAUCUGAUGUAUCUA
rfam:Caprimulgus carolinensis contig104708, whole genome shotgun sequence.